GGGAUGUGAUUUUUCCUGCUUUAUCAGGAAUACAUUUUUCAUUUAAUCAAGAUUCCUGUUUUCCUUCUUUUUUUAGUUUUCUUCAAACCCCUUAUCAUGCUAUACUUAAUGCAUUUUUAAUUUCAUUCAGAUACCUGGAUAAAGAGGGACUGGUUUUUAACCAGUUCCUCGACAUCGUGACAGUCAGUGAUGGCAAGGCUGAUACCAUUGUCACUGCUGUGAAAGCUGUCCUGCAGAACAAGCAGGUGCCAACAGAGAAACUCUGUGGGCUUGGCACUGAUGGGGCAGCGGUUAUGACGGGGCGUGUAAAUGGGGUUGCUAAGCUGCUCGACAGCUUCCCCAUAAUCGUUGCCGUGGCCUGUCCUGCUCACCGCCUUGCCCUGGCCUGUAAGGACGCAUCAAAUGAUGUGAAAUACAUGGGGACCUUCCGGGACCACCUGCAGGAACUACACUUGUUCUUCCAUCACAGUGCAAACCGGACAGCAGCACUGAAGGCAGCGGCUACCACCCUGGGACUGUCUGACUUGAAGAUGAAGGAGGUAAAAGACACAAGGUGGCUAUCUCAGCACCUGGCCAUUGAGAUACUCCAAAGAAAUCUCAAAGCUGUGCUUGCCACAUUGGC
rnacentral:lncRNA from 1 species